rnacentral:tRNA from 1 species
GGAGGGUGCAGCUCAGUGGUAGAGUGUGUGCUUAGCAUGCAUGAGGUUCUGGGUUCAAUCCUCAGUCCCUCUA